rnacentral:rRNA from 1 species
AUUGAACGCUGGCGUCACGCCUAACACAUGCAAGUCGAACGAGUGGCGGACGGGUGAGUAAUGUCUGGGCAACUGCCUGAUGGCGGGGGAUAACUACUGGAAACGGUAGCUAAUACCGCAUACCAUCGGAUGUGCCCAGAUGGGAUUAGCUAGUAGGUGGGGUAAAGUCUCACCUAGGCGACGAUCCCGAGCUGGUCUGAGAGGAUGACCAGCCACACUGGGAGUGGGACACGGGCCAGACUCCUACGGGAGGCAGCAGGGGGGAAUAUUGCACAAUGGGCGCAAGCCUGAUGCAGCCAUGCCGCGUGUAUGAAGAAGGCCAUCGGGUUGUAAAGUACUUUCAGCGGGGAGGCGUGACCCGCAGAAGAAGCACCGGCUAGCUCCGUGCCAGCAGCCGCGGUAAUUC